rnacentral:rRNA from 1 species
AGUGAACGCUGGCGGUAGGCCUAACACAUGCAAGUCGAACGGCAGCACAGUAAGAGCUUGCUCUUACGGGUGGCGAGUGGCGGACGGGUGAGGAAUACAUCGGAAUCUACUUUUUCGUGGGGGAUAACGUAGGGAAACUUACGCUAAUACCGCAUACGACCUACGGGUGAAAGCAGGGGAUCUUCGGACCUUGCGCGAUUGAAUGAGCCGAUGUCGGAUUAGCUAGUUGGCGGGGUAAAGGCCCACCAAGGCGACGAUCCGUAGCUGGUCUGAGAGGAUGAAUCGCCCCCCUGGAACUGAGACCCGGUCCAGGCCCCUACGGGAGGCAGCAGUGGGGAAUAUUUGACAAUGGGCGCAAGCCUGAUCCAGCCAUACCGCGUGGGUGAAGAAGGCCUUCGGGUUGUAAAGCCCUUUUGUUGGGAAAGAAAAGCAGCAGGUUAAUACCCCGCUGUUCUGACGGUACCCAAAGAAUAAGCACCGGCUAACUUCGUG